CACCAGACUCCUACGGGAGGCAGCAGUGGGGAAUAUUGCACAAUGGGGGAAACCCUGAUGCAGCGACGCCGCGUGGGCGAUGGAGUGCUUCGGCAUGUAAAGCCCUAUCAGCAGGGAAGAAAAUGACGGUACCUGACUAAGAAGCCCCGGCUAACUACGUGCCAGCAGCCGCGGUAAUACGUAGGGGGCAAGCGUUAUCCGGAUUUACUGGGUGUAAAGGGAGCGUAGACGGCAUGGCAAGUCAGAUGUGAAAGCCCGGGGCUCAACCCCGGGACUGCAUUUGAAACUGUCAGGCUGGAGUGCAGGAGAGGUAAGGGGAAUUCCUAGGGUAGCGGUGAAAUGCGUAGAUAUUAGGAGGAACACCAGUGGCGAGGGCGGCUUGCUGGACCGUAACUGACGUUGAGGCUCGAAAGCGCGGGGAGCAAACAGGAUUAGAUACCCCAGUAA
rnacentral:rRNA from 1 species